AUUGAACGCUGGCGGAAUGCUUUACACAUGCAAGUCGAACGGCAGCACGGACUUCGAUCUGGUGGCGAGUGGCGAACGGGUGAGUAAUGUAUCGGAACGUGCCCAGUCGUGGGGGAUAACGUAGUGAAAAUUACGCUAAUACCGCAUACGAUCUAUGGAUGAAAGCGGGGGAUCGCAAGACCUCGCGCGAUUGGAGCGGCCGAUAUCAGAUUAGGUAGUUGGUGGGGUAAAGGCCCACCAAGCCAACGAUCUGUAGCUGGUCUGAGAGGACGACCAGACACACUGGAACGGAGACACGGUCCAGACUCCUACGGGAGGCAGCAGUGGGGAAUUUUGGAAAAUGGGCGAAAGCCUGAUCCAGCCAUUCCGCGUGCAGGAUGAAGGCCCUCGGGUUGUAAACUGCUUUUGUACAGAACGAAAAGGUUUCUACUAAUACUAGGAGCUCAUGACGGUACUGUAAGAAUAAGCACCGGCUAACUACGUGCCAGCCGCCGCAGUAA
rnacentral:rRNA from 1 species